GCAGCAGUGGGGAUAUUGCACAAUGGGGGAAACCCUGAUGCAGCCAUGCCGCGUGUGUGAAGAAGGCCUUCGGGUUGUAAAGCACUUUCAGUAGGGAGGAAAGGGUGUAGUUUAAUACGCUAUAUCUGUGACGUUACCUACAGAAGAAGGACCGGCUAACUCCGUGCCAGCAGCCGCGGUAAUACGGAGGGUCCGAGCGUUAAUCGGAAUUACUGGGCGUAAAGCGUGCGCAGGCGGUUUGUUAAGCGAGAUGUGAAAGCCCUGGGCUCAACCUAGGAAUAGCAUUUCGAACUGGCGAACUAGAGUCUUGUAGAGGGGGGUAGAAUUCCAGGUGUAGCGGUGAAAUGCGUAGAGAUCUGGAGGAAUACCGGUGGCGAAGGCGGCCCCCUGGACAAAGACUGACGCUCAUGCACGAAAGCGUGGGGAGCAAACAGGAUUAGAUACCCUGGUAGUCCACGCCGUAAACGAUGUCUACUCGGAGUUUGGUGUCUUGAACACUGGGCUCUCAAGCUAACGCAUUAAGUAGACCGCCUGGGGAGUACGGCCGCAAGGUUAAAACUCAAAUGAAUUGACGGGGGCCCGCA
rnacentral:rRNA from 1 species